AUUGAACGCUGGCGGCAGGCAUAACACAUGCAAGUCGAGCGGAGCGGCGGACGGGUGAGUAAUGCCUAGGAAUCUGCCUGGUAGUGGGGGAUAACGUCCGGAAACGGGCGCUAAUACCGCAUACUAUCAGACGAGCCUAGGUCGGAUGAGCUAGUUGGUGGGGUAAAGUCCUACCAAGGCGACGAUCCGUAACUGGUCUGAGAGGAUGAUCCGUCACACUGGAACUGAGACACGGUCCAGACCACAACGGUAGGCAGCAGUGGGGAAUAUUGGACAAUGGGCGAAAGCCUGAUCCAGCCAUGCCGCUGGUGUGAAGAAGGUGUUCGGAUUGUAAAGCACUUUAAGUUGGGAGGCGUUACCAACAGAAUCAGCACCGGCUAACUUCGUGCCAGCAGCCGCGGUAAUAC
rnacentral:rRNA from 1 species